rnacentral:rRNA from 1 species
AUUGAACGCUGGCGGCAGGCCUAACACAUGCAAGUCGAGCGGAUGAAGGGAGCUUGCUCCUGGAUUCAGCGGCGGACGGGUGAGUAAUGCCUAGGAAUCUGCCUGGUAGUGGGGGAUAACGUCCGGAAACGGGCGCUAAUACCGCAUACGUCCUGAGGGAGAAAGUGGGGGAUCUUCGGACCUCACGCUAUCAGAUGAGCCUAGGUCGGAUUAGCUAGUUGGUGGGGUAAAGGCCUACCAAGGCGACGAUCCGUAACUGGUCUGAGAGGAUGAUCAGUCACACUGGAACUGAGACACGGUCCAGACUCCCACGGGAGGCAGCAGUGGGGAAUAUUGGACAAUGGGCGAAAGCCUGAUCCAGCCAUGCCGCGUGUGCGAAGAAGGUCCUCGGAUUGUAAAGCACUUUAAGUUGGGAGGAAGGGCAGUAAGUUAAUACCUUGCUGUUUUGACGUUACCAACAGAAUAAGCACCGGCUAACUUCGUG